rnacentral:rRNA from 1 species
GAUGAACGCUGGCGGCGUGCCUAAUACAUGCAAGUCGAGCGAACAGACGAGGAGCUUGCUCCUCUGACGUUAGCGGCGGACGGGUGAGUAACACGUGGAUAACCUACCUAUAAGACUGGGAUAACUUCGGGAAACCGGAGCUACUACCGGAUAAUAUAUUGAACCGCAUGGUUCAAUAGUGAAAGACGGUUUUGCUGUCACUUAUAGAUGGAUCCGCGCCGCAUUAGCUAGUUGGUAGGGUAACGGCUUACCAAGGCAACGAUGCGUAGCCGACCUGAGAGGGUGAUCGGCCACACUGGAACUGAGACACGGUCCAGACUCCUACGGGAGGCAGCAGUAGGGAAUCUUCCGCAAUGGGCGAAAGCCUGACGGAGCAACGCCGCGUGAGUGAUGAAGGUCUUCGGAUCGUAAAACUCUGUUAUUAGGGAAGAACAAAUGUGUAAGUAACUAUGCACGUCUUGACGGUACCUAAUCAGAAAGCCACGGCUAACUACGUG